rnacentral:tRNA from 1 species
GUCGGAGUGGCGGAAUUGGUAGACGCGCUAGCUUCAGGAGCUAGUGAUCGCAAGAUCGUGGGAGUUCAAGUCUCCCCUCCGACACAA